ensembl:lncRNA
CUCCACCUUUAUUUUAAUAAUUUACUUAUAUAGAAAAGUUCAGCAGAUAUUUUGGUUGGUUACCUACAUUUGAGCUAAACAGAAGCUCAAGAUCAAUGCAUUUAAACGAAGUUUGGACACUUCCACUGUUGGGAAUAGAUUUCUUUACCUCCCUUUGCUUCCAGAUCUUUUUUUUUUUCUUUUUUUUUUUCUUUUUCUAGGUGAGACUGCUGCUUCUGAGAGCAGCAGAGGGAAAAGCAGACACGUAACCCUGUGAGCUUGCAGACAUUUCAUGGCCACGCAGAACACCCAAUAUGCUGUCCCCCUUAAGUCUGUAUCCUAACUUAGGAUAACUGUGUUUUAAAAUAUCAGGACAAGCCAACAAACUUUGCUGUUGGUAGUACUGCUUAAUUUUGCUCCUUUGAGUAAAGCAGGAGGCAGUGAACGUGUCUGAAACGUUAGAAAUCCAAAAGCAAAACACAUUUUUUUACUUCCACUAGCAGAGCACAUUGUUCCCCCCGUAUCCCUCCUCUCCUACCCCCACACCAGCUCAUCCCACUCUGUAGGAGGAGAGAACAGAAGCUGCUUGUUAGUAUUAUAUACAGAAACAACUCCUAAACUCUAAAUGAUUGUUGUAUAUAACGAAGAUAAAAUCCAAAGUCAUCGAAAUUAGUGAAAGCUCUUCUGGCUUUGAUGCAAGCUCCAGGUGAUUCACCUGCAUUCACCUUUCUGUACCAUAAAGCCAUCAGUCAGUCAGUUAAGUCUCUCUGGUCUUAAUUUUCUCUGCAGUAACUGCUGAUCCUCCGUAACUUUGUGCUGGGCACACUCUGCUUCAUCCUGUCACUUCAUUUAAUGUAAGAGCACUUUUCUAUAUUCAGGCAAAUAUAUAUCUGCUAAAGAUCGGCAAGUGAAUCCAGCUGCUAAAUCUAAAUCACGAGGCUGUCCAGUGCCACAUGCAGUCUGCAGGUAGGAAAAUGCACCAGAGACACGGCUCUAAAAAUGGCACCAGCACCAGCAGUAGUGAUGCUGAUGAAAUGGCACGGCAAACCCGGAUCUGCUACAGUAGUAAGCAUGCAGGAAUCUCUCAGAUCUUACAGAUGUGACACGGACGUGACUUCCCAUGAAGGAGGUUUUAUCUGCCAUUACUGGGUGACUGCCUGGCUGUUCUUGCUACGUCAUUUCUUAUUUAUCAUUUUAAAUCUUUGCAGCUCUGCAGUGCAGAAAUAAGUGCUUAAAAAGGUUUGCAGAAGGGAGGGAAAUGCUCUGGCAUCACAAACAGGCCUCCAGCAAAACCACCCGCUGCCUGAUUUACACCACGUUACACUGGAGAUGUUUCCAUGCAGUGAAUGGCAAUGCAAAGACUGAAACGUGCACGUGUACGAGACGAAGAGGAGAGAAACCUGCUAGCUUGUGCUUGCAGAAGAAAGCUGAUAGAAACCUGUUCCCUGUAAGAACACUUGAAGCUAUGAGCCAAGAAGCUGUCUCUGGUGCUUAACUCCCACAGCACUCAGGGAAACAGGACUGUGCGAGCGCUUUGAACAUCAAAGCAAUAACGAGCUCAGUGCUCCAUCUGAUGCAAACACCCACCAUGAAGUUUGGCUAACUCUUCACAUCAAGAAUGGGUAAUGCCAGCAGGGGGUUGUUUACACAAAAUCCGUGAUGAUAUGCUGUAGAACAGUUUAAUUCCAUGUAUUUACCCAGUUUUGUUAUCCAGAAGAAUGGACAUAGAGCUUUUCUUACCUACAAUGGAGUCAGAGAAUCUUCUUUGCCCAACAAAAUAAACUAGAAAACUGUUAGCUUCUUAAGCUGAGCAGCCUUUGAACUCAACUCUCAGACACAGAUCCAAACCAUUAACCUUAGAAGAGCUAAGCCCUAUGAAAAGUUCAUGGAAGUUAAUGAACACGGAAUAUUGAACACCUCCAUUCAGUUGUGAUAUAACACAGACUGGCACUCGAGUUUUAUUAAAUCACCACUGCUUUAUUUUUCUCAGGAUUCCUGUGAGAUGUUUCUGUCCCCCUGCCUGAAGGAUUUCAUGAGAUGCAAGAUACUGAAAUUAAAGGACCAUUCUUCUUAUUUCAUCCUAUCUAUCAGAUUAAAAGAGUUGACUAUGCCAAGUAGAGACCGCACGCUCCCACUGCAUGGGAAUGCUCCUGUGGCAACAGGAGGGCAAUGAGGAGCAGCUUUCAGCAGCUCAGCACCCGACAGGUUCGUGCACGCCUCCGUUAAAAUGCAGUAUUGCAGAAUCAAUGCAGACACUCACUGUCAUUAGGCUUCUUUCCCUUACUGGUUGUGCUUCACCAGCAUUGGCAUCAAAGGAGGGACAAGCACAGGCUGCCAGAGCAGCGUCCCCCUCUCUUAGGGCUUAGGAGAACCAAAGGACAGAAUCUCGCUCCAUCAGCCCAAAGCCAUCUGCACAUAAAAUCUACGUUCUUCAUUCAGGUCAAGAGGUAUUUUUUAAUCUAAGUGUGGACAAGGUGAGAGCCAUGCAAGGUUCUAAGCAGAUGCUCAGCGACAGCAUACAGACCACAGCACGGAUCAGCAGAACUGCACUGAUGAAUGUGCAGGUGAGAUGUGUAUCCAGGCCCACUUGGAGCUGUGCUGAGCCACAAGCACAUGGAUAUUGAAGUGGGAUGGUACUGUAACAUUACAGCCUGUCUGCAGACAGAGAAGCUCAGCGGUGAGGCUGCCCACAGAACUCAUCAGCUCAGCGCCCGCAGUGCCAGAAAGAGCCGCUAAUAGCACCGGCUGCCUGGGCAUGUCAGCGCGCGGUCAGUUAACCAAUAUUAAUCCCUCGGGCUUUUUUCUCACUCCCUUAAUUAUCAGUUUCUGGAUUUUGGCUCUCGUCCAUCGCCCUUCUGACUUAGGAAUCCUCGGAGAUGCCAAGGAAUUAAGUACCAUUACUCCCAUGAGUUGGGGACAGGGAGCGGCACACCGCCCCACCACGGCCAACAUUUUCUUUGUCUCUGCUGUGAAAGCCACACAGAAGUGGUGUCCAACAAUGCCCGCACAUCCAGCUGGAAAUUAUUUGUAUAACAAAAAGUUGUAACUGAUCAGCCGCUGCGGGGAAUCCCAAUGCAAUCCCUUGGAGCAACCGUUACACCCCCGGGCUCUGCGCAGUGUACGUCUCUCAUCAUUCCUGGUGUGAGUGAGUGUGGCCCGGGUGCUCCCAUCCCAGCUGUGCGGAUGGUCUGCGCCCAUCCCUCCACGUGCUGCCAGAGGAGCAGUGCUGGGCAUGUCGGGCACUGCAGGGCGCGGCAGAGGGGCUCUGCGCUGCCGGAGAUGGGGCUGGAAAGGACACAGCACGUGCACAGCAAGGGCCAGAAAUUCUGAUGGGACGCUGAGUCGGCCGGUGGGCAUCAGCUGAGCAGCGCCGGAAUUUCUAACAAGAGAAACGGAGCGGGUGCCGCUGAAACGACACAGCGUGACACCAACUGCCAAAACCCAGCAAACCCCGCACGGCCACGAGUUCAUCCCCAGCGCCGCUCGCAGCGCAGGGCUGCAGCUCUCACACAAGGCGCCAGCACUGCAGCACGGCGCGACAUCCCG